CCUACGGGAGGCAGCAGUGGGGAAUUUUGGACAAUGGGGGCAACCCUGAUCCAGCCAUCCCGCGUGUGCGAUGAAGGCCUUCGGGUUGUAAAGCACUUUUGGCAGGAAAGAAACGGCCUUGGAUAAUACCUGAGGCAACUGACGGUACCUGCAGAAUAAGCACCGACCAACUACGUGCCAGCAGCCGCGGUAAU
rnacentral:rRNA from 1 species